CUGGGCUUGGAGACGGGACUUGUCUCAGUGUGUUGGCAUGGCCAUCUCCCCAGAACUCCCUGGGGCAAGAAGAAGCAUUGCUGAGAACAUUUCAGGUUUAGUUCUAAGUGUAUGAAAUGCGGGUGAGAAUUUCACUUGGUCAGCCUGACCCAGCCGGACUCAAAGACAAUUGGCCUUUCCACCAGACCCCAUUCAGAGAUACCAUUAUAGCAGUAGUUCUCAACCUGUGGGUCUCAGCUCCUUUGGGGUCUAAAUGACUCUUUUACAGGACCCCCUGUUUGACCACCAGAGAGCAUAGCUACUUACAUUAUGAUUCAUACAUAACACUAGCAAAUUAGAGUUAUGAAGUAGCAACAAAACUAAUAUCGGCAGCGUCACCACAUCACGAGGUAUAUUAAAUGGUGGCAACAUCAGGAAGGCGGAGAACCACUGCUCUUUAGGAUAUUCAAAGAUGAGUUUGGCCAAUGUCAUGGAUUU
rnacentral:lncRNA from 1 species